UACGGGGGGAGCAAGCGUUGUUCGGAUUUACUGGGCGUAAAGGGCGCGUAGGCGGCCAGCACAAGUCAGUUGUGAAAUCUCCGAGCUUAACUCGGAACGGUCAACUGAUACUGUGCGGCUAGAGUGCGGAAGGGGCAACUGGAAUUCUUGGUGUAGCGGUGAAAUGCGUAGAUAUCAAGAGGAACACCAGUGGCGAAGGCGGCUCACUGGACCGGAACUGACGCUGAUGCGCGAAAGCGUGGGGAGCAAACGGG
rnacentral:rRNA from 1 species